GAUGAACGCUAGCGGCAGGCUUAACACAUGCAAGUCGAGGGGUAUAGGUUUUCGGACCUAGAGACCGGCGCACGGGUGCGUAACGCGUAUGCAAUCUACCUUUCACAGAGGGAUAGCCCAGAGAAAUUUGGAUUAAUACCUUAUAGUAUAGCAGUUUCGCAUGAAACCACUAUUAAAGUAUCAACGGUGAAAGAUGAGCAUGCGUCCCAUUAGCUAGAUGUUAAGGUAACGGCUUACCAUGGCUACGAUGGGUAGGGGUCCUGAGAGGGAGAUCCCCCACACUGGUACUGAGACACGGACCAGACUCCUACGGGAGGCAGCAGUGAGGAAUAUUGGUCAAUGGACGCAAGUCUGAACCAGCCAUGCCGCGUGCAGGAUGACGGUCCUAUGGAUUGUAAACUGCUUUUGUACGAGAAGAAACAACAUUACGUGUAAUGUCUUGACGGUAUCGUAAGAAUAAGGAUCGGCUAACUCCGUGCCAGCCGCCGCCGUAAUAC
rnacentral:rRNA from 1 species